rnacentral:rRNA from 1 species
ACAAUUAGCUGUUGGGACACUAGAUGUCUUAGUAGCGAAGCUAACGCGUGAAAUUGUCCGCCUGGGGAGUACGGUCGCAAGAUUAAAACUCAAAGGAAUUGACGGGGACCCGCACAAGCGGUGGAUGAUGUGGAUUAAUUCGAUGCAACGCGAAGAACCUUACCUGGUCUUGACAUGUACGGAAUCUCUUAGGGAUAGGAGAGUGCCUUCGGGAACCGUAACACAGGUGCUGCAUGGCUGUCGUCAGCUCGUGUCGUGAGAUGUUGGGUUAAGUCCCGCAACGAGCGCAACCCUUGUCAUUAGUUGCCAUCAUUAAGUUGGGCACUCUAAUGAGACUGCCGGUGAUAUACCGGAGGAAGGUGAGGAUGACGUCAAGUCCUCAUGGCCCUUAUGACCAGGGCUUCACACGUCAUACAAUGGUCGGUACAGAGGGUAGCGAAGCCGCGAGGUGAAGCCAAUCUCAGAAAGCCGAUCGUAGUCCGGAUUGCACUCUGCAACUCGAGUGCAUGAAGUCGGAAUCGCUAGUAAUCGCAGGUCAGCAUACUGCGGUGAAUACGUUCCCGGGUCU